rnacentral:rRNA from 1 species
UACGGAGGGGACUAGCGUUGUUCGGAAUUACUGGGCGUAAAGCGCGCGUAGGCGGACCUGCAAGUCGGGGGUGAAAGCCCGAGGCUCAACCUCGGAACUGCCUUCGAUACUGCGGGUCUCGAGUCCGGGAGAGGCGAGUGGAAUUCCUAGUGUAGAGGUGAAAUUCGUAGAUAUUAGGAAGAACACCAGUGGCGAAGGCGGCUCACUGGCCCGGUACUGACGCUGAGGCGCGAAAGCGUGGGGAGCAAACAGG